rfam:Microbial mat metagenome hsmat02_BHWH9810_x1, whole genome shotgun sequence.
CCCUGUUUUCCGCAACAGGUAUUUUACCGAGACGUGCGCCCGGAGUAAUCUGGGGGUGCGAAGCUCUCGGGACAAUGAAGCCCGUGGAAGAUUGAGUUCUUUCAGGAGAGGAAACCGUGAGGGG